rnacentral:rRNA from 1 species
AAUACCGCAUAAGCGCACAGUACCGCAUGGUACGGUGUGAAAAACUCCGGUGGUAUGAGAUGGACCCGCGUCUGAUUAGCUAGUUGGUGAGGUAACGGCCCACCAAGGCGACGAUCAGUAGCCGGACUGAGAGGUUGAACGGCCACAUUGGGACUGAGACACGGCCCAGACUCCUACGGGAGGCAGCAGUGGGGAAUAUUGCACAAUGGGGGAAACCCUGAUGCAGCGACGCCGCGUGAAGGAAGAAGUAUUUCGGUAUGUAAACUUCUAUCAGCAGGGAAGAAAAUGACGGUACCUGACUAAGAAGCCCCGGCUAACUACGUGCCAGCAGCCGCGGUAAUACGUAGGGGGCAAGCGUUAUCCGGAUUUACUGGGUGUAAAGGGAGCGCAGGCGGUGCGGCAAGUCUGAUGUGAAAGCCCGGGGCUCAACCCCGGUACUGCAUUUGAAACUGUCUAGCUAGAGUGCAGGAGAGGUAAGCGGAAUUCCUAGUGUAGCGGUGAAAUGCGUAGAUAUUAGGAGGAACACCAGUGGCGAAGGCGGCCUACUGGGCACCAACUGACGCUGAGGCUCGAAAGUGUGGGUAGCAAACAGGAUUAGAUACCCUGGUAGUCCACGCCGUAAACGAUGAUUACUAGGUGUUGGAGGAUUGACCCCUUCAGUGCCGCAGUUAACACAAUAAGUAAUCCACCUGGGGAGUACGACCGCAAGGUUGAAACUCAAAGGAAUUGACGGGGGCCCGCACAAGCAGUGGAGUAUGUGGUUUAAUUCGAAGCAACGCGAAGAACCUUACCAAGUCUUGACAUCCUGCGACGGUGCUGGAAACAGUACUUUCCUUCGGGACGCAGAGACAGGUGGUGCAUGGUUGUCGUCAGCUCGUGUCGUGAGAUGUUGGGUUAAGUCCCGCAACGAGCGCAACCCUUAUUGCCAGUUACUACGCAAGAGGACUCUGGCGAGACUGCCGUUGACAAAACGGAGGAAGGUGGGGAUGACGUCAAAUCAUCAUGCCCCUUAUGACUUGGGCUACACACGUGCUACAAUGGCGUAAACAAAGGGAAGCGAACCCGCGAGGGUGGGCAAAUCCCAAAAAUAACGUCCCAGUUCGGACUGUAGUCUGCAACCCGACUACACGAAGCUGGAAUCGCUAGUAAUCGCAGAUCAGAAUGCUGCGGUGAAUACGUUCCCGGGUCUUGUACACACCGCCCGUCACACCAUGGGAGUCAGCAACGCCCGAAGUCAGUGACUCAACCGCAAGGAGAGAGCUGCCGAAGGCGGGGCAGGUAACUGGGGUGAAGUCGUAACAAGGUAGCCGUAUCGGAAGGUGCGGCUG